UAUUGCACAAUGGGGGGAACCCUGAUGCAGCGACGCCGCGUGAGGGAAGACGGUUUUCGGAUUGUAAACCUCUGUCUUUAGGGACGAAACAAAUGACGGUACCUAAAGAGGAAGCCACGGCUGACUAAGUGCCAGCAGCCGCGGUAAUACGUAGGUUGCAAGCGUUGUCCGGAAUUACUGGGUGUAAAGGGAGCGUAGGCGGGAAUGCAAGUUGAAUGUUUAAACUAUGGGCUCAACCGAUAGUCGCGUUCAAAACUGCAUUUCUUGAGUGGAGUAGAGGCAGGCGGAAUUCCUAGUGUAGCGGUGAAAUGCGUAGAUAUUAGGAGGAACACCAGUGGCGAAGGCGGCUUACUGGACUGUAUCUGACGUUGAGGCUCGAAAGCGUGGGGAGCAAACAGG
rnacentral:rRNA from 1 species